GCCUUCGUGGUGUAAUGGUAGCACACUCGGCGUGUAUUCGAGAGGUCCAGGUUCGAGUCCCGGCGAGGGCA
rnacentral:tRNA from 1 species